rnacentral:lncRNA from 1 species
AAGUACGGGAAAGCUGUAACUCAGAGCAGGUAUCUCAUCCAGGAAUUUAGAAGCAGAAGUCAGGGAAACUAUGUAUGCAGAGUCAAGACAAUAAAUUGCCUCUUUCAGGACCUGAAAGUGUCCCUUGAAAUUGGAUGCAGCUACAAGGUGUGUACUGUUCUCACAGAUGGUAAGCUCCAGGAAGGCCUGUUCCUGUCUAAUCCUGACUUUUGCAAUAAUUCCUCAGGGCCCACUGAUUGCAGACAUACACUGCCUCCUGGCUCUAAGUCACCACACCUUCAGAUUCCACCAAAUACCAGUUCCCUUCUAGCAAGAGUUAAAACAGAUAAGUUUGAGCUAUCGAGCUUCUACAGAGGUAAGCAUCAGUUUUUUUGUCAUUCUCCCUAUUAUGUACCAUGAAGUGUCAUCUUUUCUUAGACCCAGAUUUUCCCUGUUUAUACUGCAAACCACGUUUUUAACCACCCUAAUAAAGGACGCAGUAGAAUACCCA